UACCCAGAUGCACUUAACACCCCUAUUCAAUAAUCUUCUAUGUUUAGACAGUAUUUACCUUCUAAGGAAUUACUACCUUAAAAGGAGCUUGGUACCAUAUAUAUGUAUCCUCUGUUCUACUUAGUACAUACUCAGUUCAAGACUCACAACACCACCUGCUAUUGCAACCUUGCAUUCUUUUCUCCUCUUAAAAAGCUACUGUUGGGUUAUCUUUGGCUUUAUAAUGGCUUCAUCCAAACCCAAUCUUGCAUUAUUUUCUCUUAUUGUCCUACUUCUCUGCACCAUUCUCAUGGGCAUUCAAGGUGAAAAUGAUUCAUGUGUGGGAGACUGUAAGAGCCUUCAUGAGUGUGUGAAGAAAUGUGAUGCAUGGGGUUAUGAUCCUAGUCUUGCUGAAUGCUUUCCUAGGUGGGAAGCAUCCAUUGGUGACUGCUGCUGUAGAAAGACCUAUUUUUGAAUUUUGUUUGUAACAAAUCCCCUGGAGAGGGAAACUUUUAAGAUUGAAAACUGUUAUCUUAUGUGAUAGAAAAAAUAAUUUAUUAAAAAAUAAUAAUAGUUUUUUUUUUUCUUUCUUUCUUUUUAAUGAAAAAUUAGGAGUUUCUUUA